UUUUGUUUAGCUCAGUGGCUAGAGCUUAGGUCUUGUGACCGGAAGGUCCUGGGAUCGAAGUCCGCCAGAGGCUGAAAU
rnacentral:tRNA from 1 species